rnacentral:rRNA from 1 species
AUUGAACGCUGGCGGCAGGCUUAACACAUGCAAGUCGAGCGGGGGAAGGUAGCUUGCUACCGGACCUAGCGGCGGACAGGUGAGUAAUGCUUAGGAAUCUGCCUAUUAGUGGGGGACAACAUCUCGAAAGGGAUGCUAAUACCGCAUACGUCCUACGGGAGAAAGCAGGGGAUCUUCGGACCUUGCGCUAAUAGAUGAGCCUAAGUCGGAUUAGCUAGUUGGUGGGGUAAAGGCCUACCAAGGGGACGAUCUGUAGCGGGUCUGAGAGGAUGAUCCGCCACACUGGGACUGAGACACGGCCCAGACUCCUACGGGAGGCAGCAGUGGGGAAUAUCGGACAAUGGGGGGAACCCUGAUCCAGCCAUGCCGCGUGUGUGAAGAAGGCCUUAUGGUUGUAAAGCACUUUAAGCGAGGAGGAGGCUACUUUAGUUAAUACCUAGAGAUAGUGGACGUUACUCGCAGAAUAAGCACCGGCUAACUCUGUGCCAGCAGCCGCCGUAA